rnacentral:pre_miRNA from 1 species
UUUGAAUUACCGUACUUCCUCACAUUACCUGACAUGUCGGAUAUAAGGGAAUAUUACCAAAUUCUCGUUAAAUUCACUUUACCGGACAUGUCGGAUAAUGUGAGGAAGUACGGUAAUUCGAA